GAUGAACGCUGGCGGCGUGCCUAAUACAUGCAAGUCGAGCGAACAGACGAGGAGCUUGCUCCUCUGACGUUAGCCGCGGACGGGUGAGUAACACGUGUAUACCCUACCUAUAAGACUGGGAUAACUUCGGGAAACCGGCUCUAAUACCGGAUAAUAUAUUGAACCGCAUGGUUCAAUAGUGAAAGACGGUUUUGCGGUCACUUAUAGAUGGAUCCGCGCCGCAUUAGCUAGUUGGUAAGGUAACGGCUUACCAAGGCAACGAUGCGUAGCCGACCUGAGAGGGGGAUAGGCCACACUGGAACUGGGACACGGACCAGACUCCUACGGGAGGCAGCAGUAGGGAAUCGGCCGCAAUGGGCGAAAGCCUGACGGAGCAACGCCGCGUGAGUGAUGAAGGUCUUCGGAUCGUAAAACUCUGUUAUGAGGGAAGAACAAAUGUGUAAGUAACUAUGCACGGCUUGACGGUAACUAAUCAGAAAGCCACGGCUAACUACGUG
rnacentral:rRNA from 1 species